rnacentral:rRNA from 1 species
AUUGAACGCUGGCGGCAUGCUUUACACAUGCAAGUCGAACGGUAACAGGGUGCUUACACCGCUGACGAGUGGCGAACGGGUGAGUAAUGCGUCGGAACGUGCCGAGUAGUGGGGGAUAACGCAGCGAAAGUUGUGCUAAUACCGCAUACGUACUGAGGUAGAAAGUGGGGGACCUUCGGGCCUCACGCUAUUCGAGCGGCCGACGUCUGAUUAGCUAGUAGGUGAGGUAAAGGCUCACCUAGGCGACGAUCAGUAGCGGGUCUGAGAGGAUGAUCCGCCACACUGGGACUGAGACACGGCCCAGACUCCUACGGGAGGCAGCAGUGGGGAAUUUUGGACAAUGGGCGAAAGCCUGAUCCAGCCAUGCCGCGUGUCUGAAGAAGGCCUUCGGGUUGUAAAGGACUUUUGUCAGGGAGGAAAUCCCUAGUGCUAAUACCGCUGGGGGAUGACAGUACCUGAAGAAUAAGCACCGGCUAACUACGUGCCAGCCGCCGCCGUAACAC